GAUGAACGCUGGCGGCGUGCCUAAUACAUGCAAGUCGAGCGAACGGACGAGAAGCUUGCUUCUCUGAUGUUAGCGGCGGACGGGUGAGUAACACGUGGAUAACCUACCUAUAAGACUGGGAUAACUUCGGGAAACCGGAGCUAAUACCGGAUAAUAUUUUGAACCGCAUGGUUCAAAAGUGAAAGACGGUCUUGCUGUCACUUAUAGAUGGAUCCGCGCUGCAUUAGCUAGUUGGUAAGGUAACGGCUUACCAAGGCAACGAUGCAUAGCCGACCUGAGAGGGUGAUCGGCCACACUGGAGCUGAGACACGGUCCAGACUCCUACGGGAGGCAGCAGUAGGGAAUCUUCCGCAAUGGGCGAAAGCCUGACGGAGCAACGCCGCGUGAGUGAUGAAGGUCUUCGGAUCGUAAAACUCUGUCAUUAGGGAAGAACAUAUGUGUAAGUAACUGUGCACAUCUUGACGGUACCUAAUCAGAAAGCCACGGCUAACUACGUG
rnacentral:rRNA from 1 species